AUUAUAUAUAGUAAAUUUAAGCUUCAUAAACUCCAUCCAACUUUCUACAAACACUACACACCCACCUUCACCUUCAGUUUGCUGCUACAUAGAAUUAACAACAUUCAGAAAAUCAAUUCUAACCGUCUAAUUAAUACUAUUUUCAUCUGGGUCUUCCAUUGUUUCUCACCUCUAUACAUUUGAUUCUUGCAUUAUUUCUCUAUUUUUAACAUCUUGGUCCUGCGUUGUGGUAAGUAUUUCUCACAUUUCGACUGUUUAUUUUGUAUGUGUGUUGUACUCUUACAUAGUGAUAACAAUGUUUGAUACACCGAUUGUAAAAAUCUUACACUAUUUUAGUUGUUAAGACUUAUCGACUGUUUUAUUUUA